rnacentral:rRNA from 1 species
GACGAACGCUGGCGGCGUGCUUAACACAUGCAAGUCGAACGGCAAGGCCCUGCUUUUGUGGGGUGCUCGAGUGGCGAACGGGUGAGUAACACGUGAGUAACCUGCUCUUGACUUAGGGGUAACUUCUGGACACUGGGGCUAAUACCGGAUCGGAGUCCCUGAUGCGGGGAGGGGGUGGGAAAGUUUCGGCGGUUGGGGAUGGACGCGGGGCUUAUCAGCUUGUUGGUGGGGUAGUGGCUCACAAAGUCUUUGACGGGUAGCCGGCCUGGGAGGGUGACCGGCCCCCUUGCGCCUGCGAUACGGCCCAGACUCCUACUUGAGGCAGCAGUCGGGAAUCUUGCACAAUGGGCGGAAGCCUGAUGAAGCAACGCUGCGUGUGUGAUGACGGCUUUCGGGUUGUAAACCGCUUUCGCCUGUGACGAAGCGUUAGUGACGGUAAUGGGUAAAGAAGCACCGGCUAACUACGUG